GAGUAUGAGUGUGUGAGCUUGCCUCGUUAAAAAACUCUCUUGGAAAACCCAUUGGGACAAAACCAAGAGGAGGGAAAAAGAGUGCAAGUCACACACCUCCAAUGAUGUCACUUAAACGGCUUGAAUCACAACCAACGUGGUUGGACAAGCUUCCGGUUUAAGGCUGCCUUCAAUGUGUUGUAGAAGUGUGUUGAUAGCUUGAUUCAACAACUUAGUCUUGG
rnacentral:lncRNA from 1 species